rnacentral:misc_RNA from 1 species
UUGAACUCAGUUUAAAAAAAAAAAAAAAAUCUAGAACCCAAGUCACCGCUCUGGAACUUUCUGCUCCGUUCUCGACACCUCCUUUUCUAUGUGUGCUUUAUAAAACACCCAAAAUUUGGACUCCUUAAACCUAACAGGCGAGUACUGCAUCCCAACGAUCAAGAUAUACUCCAUCACUGAAAACAUGGCAUCACUGAUUGCUUUAAGGAAAGCAACCGCUUCUGCUCUCUUCUCCAAGCUCAUCAAUCCUGUCCGCUCUGCCUCUGUGGCACCUUCUGUUUCUCGCUCCUUCAGCACUGAAACCCAGGUCACCAACUUUGGCGGCGACGAUAGUGGCAACGUCGACGUUAAUAGGCGCUCCUCUGAUCGCAGCGUCUCUCGCCGCCGAGAUACUUCUCGCAGUUUCUUCCCAGAUGUGGUCGACUCAUUUUCUCCAACGAGGACUCUGAGCCAGGUGUGGAACCUAAUGGACCAGUUAAUGGAGUACCCGUUGGGCGUGGGAGCCGGAGGUGGCGUUGGUGCGAGGCGAGGGUGGGACGUGAAGGAGGACGAGGAAGCUCUGUAUCUAAGGAUGGACAUGCCAGGGCUAAGCAAACAGGACGUCAAAGUGUGCGUGGAGCAGAACACACUGGUGAUAAAAGGGGAAGGCCCAAAAGAAAACGAAGAAGAAGAGAGUGGAAGAAGGUACUCAAGCAGACUGGAGUUGCCUCGAAAUCUGUACAAGCUCGAUGAGAUUAAGGGUGAAAUGAAGAACGGUGUUUUGAAGGUGGUGGUACCAAAGGUGAAAGAACAAGAGAGAAAGGAUGUCCAUGAGGUUCAGAUUCAGUGAGGCCGAGUUUUGUGAAAU